GAUGAACGCUGGCGGCGUGCCUAAUACAUGCAAGUCGAACGAAACUUCUUUAUCACCGAUUGCUUGCACUCACCGAUAAAGAGUUGAGUGGCGAACGGUUGAGUAACACGUGGGCAACCUGCCCAAAAGAGGGGGAUAACACUUGGAAACAGGUGCUAAUACCGCAUAACCAUAGUUACCGCAUGGUAACUAUGUAAAAGGUGGCUAUACUACCGCUUUUGGAUGGGCCCGCGGCGCAUUAGCUAGUUGGUAGGGUAAAGGCUUACCAAGGCAAUGAUGCGUAGCCGAAUUGAGAGGUUGAUCGGCCACAUUGGGACUGAGACACGGCCCAAACUCCGACGGGAGGCAGCAGUAGGGAAUCUUCCACAAUGGGCGAAAGCCUGAUGGAGCAACGCCGCGUGGGUGAAGAAGGUCUUCGGAUCGUAAAACCCUGUUGUUAGAGAAGAAAGUGCGUGAGAGUAACUGUUCACGUUUCGACGGUAUCUAACCAGAAAGCCACGGCUAACUACGUG
rnacentral:rRNA from 1 species